UUGAUCUCAAAUCACGUAGGACUACCCGCUGAACUUAAGCAUUAUA
rnacentral:rRNA from 1 species